rnacentral:rRNA from 1 species
GACGAACGCUGGCGGCGUGCUUAACACAUGCAAGUCGAACGGAAAGGCCCUGCAUUUGUGGGUUGCUCGAGUGGCGAACGCGUGAGUAACACGAGAGUAACCUGCCCUUGACUUUGGGAUAACGUCAGGAAACUGGGGCUAAUACCGGAUAGGAGCUCCUGCUGCAUGGUGGGGGUUGGAAAGUUUCGGCGGUUGGGGAUGGACUCGCGGCUUAUCAGCUUGUUGGUGGGGUAGUGGCUUACCAAGGCUUUGACGGGUAGCCGGCCUGAGAGGGUGACCGGCCACAUUGGGACUGAGAUACGGGCCAGACUCCUACGGGAGGCAGAAGUGGGGAAUAUUGCACAAUGGGCGGAAGCCGGAUGCAGCAACGCCGCGUGCGGGAUGACGGCCUUCGGGUUGUAGACCGCUUUCGCCUGUGACGAAGCGUGAGUGACGGUAAUGGGUAAAGAAGCACCGGCUAACUACGUG